rnacentral:rRNA from 1 species
UACAGAGGUCUCAAGCGUUGUUCGGAUUCAUUGGGCGUAAAGGGUGUGUAGGUGGCGCCGUAAGUCGGGUGUGAAAUUUCGGAGCUUAACUCCGAAACUGCAUUCGAUACUGCGGUGCUUUGAGGACUGGGAGAGGAGACUGGAAAUUCAUGGUGUAGCAGUGAAAUGCGUAGAGAUCAUGAGGAAGACCAGUGGCGAAGGCGGGUCUCUGGACAGUUCCUGACACUGAGACGAAGGCCAGGGGGAGCAAAACGGGG